GUCAGGAUGGCCGAGCGGUCUAAGGCGCCAGACUCAAGAGUAAUCUUACCUCAAUCGCUGGGGUUAUGAGCGUUCUGGUCCUCUCUGAGGGCGUGGGUUCAAAUCCCACUUCUGACA
rfam:Stomoxys calcitrans breed 8C7A2A5H3J4 unplaced genomic scaffold Scaffold738, whole genome shotgun sequence.